GCAAGCAGACAAACAAGCAGGCAAGUAAACAAACCUGCCAGCCAGCCAGCCAGCCAGCCAACCAACCAAAGAAACAAAAAAACACUUCUUGAAAUCAGCUGUCUUCAGUUUUGUUCAGAAGACAGUUCUACUGAAUGCAGAGGAAGUACUCCUAGCUAACUGCAUCUGGGAGAGUUUAAAUGAAGAAUGCUUUGAACAGAGGUGACAAACUGCACAGCAAGCAUGUUUUCAGGUUAAAAAAAUCAUGGAUUGCCAGCAUUGGUUAUUUAAGAUAUACAGUGUGCCUGAACCCUCCUGCGUAAGGCAAAUACUGGAUAUGCUCGAGCUCCAUUGAAAACGACAUGGCUCAUGCAUUCGGUGCAGCAUGGUGUGUGCACCAUAAGCACACGUGCCUUUGCCUCUACCGUUAUGUGGAUUUCAGUGUAAGCUGAAAGCUG